UACGGAGGGAGCUAGCGUUAUUCGGAAUUACUGGGCGUAAAGGGUGCGUAGGCGGCAUGAUAAGUUAUUGGCGGUAAAUCGAGGCUCAACCUCGUGGAAACUGAUAAUACUGUCUUGCUUGAGUGCAGAAGAGGUUAACGGAACUCCAUGUGGAGCGGUAAAAUGUGUAGAUAUAUGGAAGAACAUCAAUAACGGCGAAGGCAGUUAACUAUUCUGCUACUGACGUUGAGGCACGAAAGCGUGGGGAGCAAAAAGG
rnacentral:rRNA from 1 species